rnacentral:rRNA from 1 species
AUUGAACGCUGGCGGCAGGCCUAACACAUGCAAGUCGAACGGUAACAGGAAGCAGCUUGCUGCUUUGCUGACGAGUGGCGGACGGGUGAGUAAUGUCUGGGAAACUGCCCGAUGGAGGGGGAUAACUACUGGAAACGGUAGCUAAUACCGCAUAACGUCGCAAGACCAAAGAGGGGGACCUUAGGGCCUCUUGCCAUCGGCUGUGCCCAGAUGGGAUUAGCUAGUAGGUGGGGUAACGGCUCACCUAGGCGACAAUCCCUAGCUGGUCUGAGAGGAUGACCAGCCACACUGGAACUGAGACACGGUCCAGACUCCUACGGGAGGCAGCAGUGGGGAAUAUUGCACAAUGGGCGCAAGCCUGAUGCAGCCAUGCCGCGUGUAUGAAGAAGGCCUUCGGGUUGUAAAGUACUUUCAGCGGGGAGGAAGGGAGUAAAGUUAAUACCUUUGCUCAUUGACGUUACCCGCAGAAGAAGCACCGGCUAACUCCGUG